GAUGAACGCUGGCGGCGUGCCUAAUACAUGCAAGUCGAGCGAACGGACGAGAAGCUUGCUUCUCUGAUGUUAGCGGCGGACGGGUGAGUAACACGUGGAUAACCUACCUAUAAGACUGGGAUAACUUCGGGAAACCGGAGCUAAUACCGGAUAAUAUUUUGAACCGCAUGGUUCAAAAGUGAAAGACGGUCUUGCUGUCACUUAUAGAUGGAUCCGCGCUGCAUUAGCUAGUUGGUAAGGUAACGGCUUACCAAGGCAACGAUGCAUAGCCGACCUGAGAGGGUGGUCCGCCCAACUGGAACCUAGACCCGGUCCCGACUCCUACGGGAGGGCGCCGUAGGGAAUUUUCCGGCAUUGGCGAAAGCCUGACGGAGCAACGCCGCGUGAGUGAUGAAGGUCUUCGGAUCGUAAAACUCUGUUAUUAGGGAAGAACAUAUGUGUAAGUAACUGUGCACAUCUUGACGGUACCUAAUCAGAAAGCCACGGCUAACUACGUG
rnacentral:rRNA from 1 species